AUUGAACGCUGGCGGCAGGCCUAACACAUGCAAGUCGAACGAGUGGCGGACGGGUGAGUAAUGUCUGGGAAACUGCCCGAUGGAGGGGGCUAACUACUGGAAACGGUAGCUACUACCGCCUACCAUCGGAUGUGCCCAGAUGGGAUUAGCUAGUAGGUGGGGUAACGGCUCACCUAGGCGACGAUCCCUAGCUGGUCUGAGAGGAUGACCAGCCACACUGGAACUGAGACACGGGCCAGACUCCUACGGGAGGCAGCAGUGGGGAAUAUUGCAAAAUGGGCGCAAGCCUGAUGCAGCCAUGCCGCGUGUAUGAAGAAGGCCUUCGGGUUGUAAAGUACUUUCAGCGGGGAGGCGUUACCCGCAGAAGAAGCACCGGCUAACUCCGUGCCAGCAGCCGCGGUAAUUC
rnacentral:rRNA from 1 species